rnacentral:misc_RNA from 1 species
GAAAAGCUUCCACUCAGGGUAGUUGCCAGCUGCAAUUGAAUCAUAGAGGUCCUGAGUAGCAUGGCUAUGGUUACUUCCUCCAACGCGAAUAGCAUCUUCCUCCAGCAAGGACUUGACUCCACAGGUAGGCCUCCAGUGAAAUUUCACAUAAUGCGCUUUCCCUGCCUUGUUAAUCAGAGUAUAGGUGUUAACACCUGAACCGUCCAUGUGCCUGUAAUCUUGUGGAAUGCCAAUAUCAUCAAAUAGAAAUGUGAACAUGUUCAAACUUUCGGGAUGGUGAGAAAAGAAGUCAAGGAUCCUCCAAUUCUCUUGGAUGUGGGACUUCGGAUUUGGUUUGAGAGCAUGUACCAUGUCUGGAAAUUUCAUACCAUCACGGAUGAAAAAUACAGGGAAGUUGUUGCCCACAAGAUCAAAAUUG